rnacentral:rRNA from 1 species
CCUACGGGAGACAGCAGUGGGGAAUAUUGGGCAAUGGGCGCAAGCCUGACCCAGCAACGCCGCGUGAAGGAAGAAGGCUUUCGGGUUGUAAACUUCCUUUGUCAGGGAAGAGUAGAAGACGGUACCUGACGAAUAAGCCACGACUAACUACGUGCCAGCAGCCGCGGUAAUACGUAGGUGGCAAGCGUUGUCCGGAUUUACUGGGUGUAAAGGGCGUGUAGCCGGGUUGACAAGUCAGAUGUGAAAUCCUGCGGCUUAACCGCAGAACUGCAUUUGAAACUGUUGAUCUUGAGUACUGGAGAGGCAGAUGGAAUUCCUAGUGUAGCGGUGAAAUGCGUAGAUAUUAGGAGGAACACCAGUGGCGAAGGCGGUCUGCUGGACAGCAACUGACGGUGAGGCGCGAAAGCGUGGGGAGCAAACAGGAUUAGAUACCCCAGUAGUC